GAUCCGGUGGCUUAGUGUUUAGAGCAUCUGUCUCAAAUGCAGGAGGUGGCGGGUUCGAACCCCGGCCGAGUCA